AGUGAACGCUGGCGGUAUGCCUAACACAUGCAAGUCGAACGGCAGCACAGUAAGAUCUUGCUCUUACGGGGUGCCGGUCGCGGACGGGUGACGUAUACAUCGGACUCUACUUUUUCGUGGGGGAUAACGUAGGGAAACUUAUGCUACUACCGAAUACGACCUGCGGGUGAAAGCAGGGGAUCUUCGGCCCUUGCGCGAUUGAAUGAGCCGAUGUCGGAUUAGCUAGUUGGCGGGGUAAAGGCCCACCAAGGCGACGAUCCGUAGCUGGUCUGAGAGGAUGAUCAGCCACACUGGAACUGAGACACGGUCCAGACUCCUACGGGAGGCAGCAGUGGGGAAUUUUGGACAAUGGGCGCAAGCCUGAUCCAGCCAUACCGCGUGGGUGAAGAAGGCCUUCGGGUUGUAAAGCCCUUUUGUUGGGAAAGAAAAGCAGCAGGUUAAUACCCCGCUGUUCUGACGGUACCCAAAGAAUAAGCACCGGCUAACUUCGUG
rnacentral:rRNA from 1 species